UACGUAGGGUGCGAGCGUUAAUCGGAAUUACUGGGCGUAAAGCGUGCGCAGGCGGUUCGUUAAGUCAGAUGUGAAAGCCCCGGGCUCAACCUGGGAACUGCAUUUGAAACUGGCGGGCUUGAGUAUGGCAGAGGGGGGUGGAAUUCCGGCGUGUAGCAGUGAAACGCGUAGAGAUGCGGAGGAACACCGAUGGCGAAGGCAGCUCGCUGGGACGUUACUGACGCUGAGACGCGAAAGCGUGGGGAGCAAACAGG
rnacentral:rRNA from 1 species